AAACCUUUGACUUGCACUGCUAAGUUUGUUUCCGGAGAGACCUCAGACUCAGCCAGUCUUCGUAUAAAGAAAUACGAGAAACCAGUUGAUCCUCAUGAAAAUGACACGUUCUCUGUUCUGGUGGCCGACGUUCCCUUCAGAUUCAGCGCCCUGCCCCGGUCCUGUGUGGUGAUUCCCUGCAGUUUCCAGCACGAACAGGACGAGCCUAUGACUCGAGGCAUUUGGUCCAAAAAAAA